rnacentral:rRNA from 1 species
AUUGAACGCUGGCGGCAUGCCUUACACAUGCAAGUCGAACGGCAGCACGGGAGCAAUCCUGGUGGCGAGUGGCGAACGGGUGAGUAAAGUAUCGGAACGUGCCCAGUCGUGGGGGACAACGUAGCGAAAGUUACGCUAAUACCGCAUACGAUCUAUGGAUGAAAGCGGGGGAUCGCAAGACCUUGCGCGAUUGGAGCGGCCGAUAUCAGAUUAGGUAGUUGGUGGGGUAAAGGCUCACCAAGCCGACGAUCUGUAGCUGGUCUGAGAGGACGACCAGCCACACUGGGACUGAGACACGGCCCAGACUCCUACGGGAGGCAGCAGUGGGGAAUUUUAGACAAUGGGCGAAAGCCUGAUCCAGCCAUGCCGCGUGCAGGAUGAAGGCCUUCGGGUUGUAAACUGCUUUUGUACGGAACGAAAAGGUUUGGCCUAAUAAGCUGAGCUCAUGACGGUACCGUAAGAAUAAGCACCGGCUAACUACGUGCCAGCAGCCGCAGUAA